rfam:Caenorhabditis briggsae complete genome, chrIV
CACUCGAAAAAACUGAGUUUAUGUGUGUACUUGACGGCGAUCAGAGCAACGAUCUAGCACCAUAUAAAUUCAGUGUUUUCGUGG